rnacentral:lncRNA from 10 species
AAAGAAAGAAAAAGAAACAAAGAAAGAGAGAGAGAGAAAGUUCACUCAUUUGUCAAGUACCUUUCAAGUAAGAGAGAAAUGGAGCUGGGGGUCUUGGCUAUUCCAGACCCAUGAAAUUUAGAAACUGUGUUGAGUCUGGGACAGGUCAGUGUGGGAAAUGCACAGUCUCUUCAAGAAGCAUGGAGGAAACGACAGGUAAUGCCCAACAUUGUUAUGUCUAGUAGGUGCUAAGUAUGGAAGGGUGGCAGAAGAGAAAUCUUGACAGACAGCUUAGGAGUAAACUAUGAUAGCUUUUUUGUUGUUGUUUUUGUUUUUCAAUUCUGAGAAUUUUGGAAUUACACACCAGGUGAUGUGAAGCCAAAGAUGGCUUUUAAGCAGAAAUGUAAUAUGAAUAGGUUGGUGUUUUACAAAACUUACAAAGCUCUCUCUAGAGGUAAUGUGAAGAGGGGAUUACAAUGAGGAGAAGCUAGGCAGCAAUAGAAUGUCUGGGUGGUUCUUUUGGUUGCUGGGCAGAAAAAAGAUCAUAAUCUGAACUAGGUUAAUUAGGCUCAUGGCUGAGGAAUUGCAAAAGUAAAUGUGACCCAUGUCACAUGACUGGAGAAAAUUGUCAGGUGAUGGUAUGCCUGGGACACAUGGGAAUAAGAAAGGAACAGGAAUCAAAGACAGCUGAGGUUUUCUGUUUGGAUCACUGGUUACCAUAGACAGGUAAUGGUAUCACUUCCAUGGUAUCUCAAGGUACAGAACUGGCUGAAGUAAACAGGGAUAUGUCCAUAAUGAGUCCAAUUUUGUUUGCAUUAAGAUUGAUGUGCUUGGCUGGGCAUGGUGGCUCAAGCCUGUAAUCCCAGCACUUUGGGAGGUGGAGGCAGGCGGAUCAUUUGAGGUGAAGAGUUCCAGACCAGCCUGGUCAACAUGGCAAAAUCCUGUCUUUACUAAAAGUACAAAAAGUAGCCAGGCAUGUGAUGCGUGCCUGUAAUUCCAGCUACUCUGGAGGCUGAGGUAUGAGAAUCGCUUGAACCCGGAGG